rnacentral:rRNA from 1 species
AGAGUUUGAUCCUGGCUCAGAUUGAACGCUGGCGGCAGGCCUAACACAUGCAAGUCGAGCGGAAACGGCAGUAUUGAAGCUUCGGUGGAUUUACUGGACGUCGAGCGGCGGACGGGUGAGUAACGGCUGGGAACCUGCCCUGACGAGGGGGAUAACCGUUGGAAACGACGGCUAAUACCGCAUAAUGUCUUAGUUCAUUACGAGCUGGGACCAAAGGUGGCCUCUACAUGUAAGCUAUCGCGUUGGGAUGGGCCCAGUUAGGAUUAGCUAGUUGGUAAGGUAAUGGCUUAUCAAGGCAACGAUCCUUAGCUGGUUUGAGAGGAUGAUCAGCCACACUGGGACUGAGACACGGCCCAGACUCCUACGGGAGGCAGCAGUGGGGAAUAUUGCACAAUGGGGGAGACCCUGAUGCAGCCAUGCCGCGUGUGUGAAGAAGGCCUUCGGGUUGUAAAGCACUUUCAGCAGUGAGGAAGGUCGUGUACUUAAUACGUGCACGGCUUGACGUUAGCUGCAGAAGAAGCACCGGCUAACUCCGUGCCAGCAGCCGCGGUAAUACGGAGGGUGCGAGCGUUAAUCGGAAUUACUGGGCGUAAAGCGCAUGCAGGCGGUUUGUUAAGUCAGAUGUGAAAGCCCGGGGCUCAACCUCGGAACCGCAUUUGAAACUGGCAGGCUAGAGUCUUGUAGAGGGGGGUAGAAUUUCAGGUGUAGCGGUGAAAUGCGUAGAGAUCUGAAGGAAUACCAGUGGCGAAGGCGGCCCCCUGGACAAAGACUGACGCUCAGAUGCGAAAGCGUGGGUAGCAAACAGGAUUAGAUACCCU